ensembl:lncRNA
GGUCUUGCUAAAAUGUCACCCCAGUACCUGCCUGCUGACCCUGCAAGCGCUCCUCUUUGCCCCCGGGAUGACCUCCCGUCUCUAGUGCCACCAGGCACUUGUGCGCACCGUUCCCUUUUCCUAGCCUGGCCUCCACCCAGGCUCCCCCUGUGAUGCCUUCAUCCAGCCUCUGUUCAGCAUGCUCCCGAUCCUUCCUCAAGAGCCAGCCCAGAGGUCCCCUCCUUUGUGAAGUCUCUGCCACUCCCUCCAGACACAAAGGAGCCCUUCUUUCCACCAAGCGCUCUGCUGAGCAUCCGUGUUCUAUCAGAUGGGCUGGAACAGGGGGUGCUCAGUAUGGACGGCCGUCUUCCCCAACUAGGAGCGUCCGCUUUGUUCCACCCGCCCCAGCGCCUAGCACGAUGCCUUCCAUCUCGGAGGCUCUCUGUGGAUGGUUUGCUAAAUACAGUCAAGUGUAAGGAAAGGAGGUACAGCACCCCCGAAAACUUCCUCUACAGGGGGGGCCUUCUCUCUCCCCCUUUUCUGUGCUUCUCAAAAAGGUUGGCUUCCGGAGUUUCCGUCGUGGCUCCGUGGUUGACGAAUCCGACGAGGAACCGUGAGGUUGCAGGUUCGAUCCCUGGCCUCACUCAGUGGGUUAAGGAUCCAGCGUUGCCGUGAGCUGUGGUGUAGGUCACAGAUGUGGCUUGGAUCCCGCGUUGCUGUGGCUCUGCUGUAGGCCAGCAGCUGCCCUAAAAAGACAAAAAGGCUUGGCUUCCAAGAGUGACAGUCUCUUUCUUGGCUAGUGGUGUUCCUACGCCGAUCCUGGUGGGUCCAGGGGUGGAAGGAGUUCACCAGCCACAAGGACCAAAAGUCCUGGCACUCUCUCUCUCUCCCCAGCCUCGACCAGCCCCAUCUGCCCUCCCGCCCAGCUCUGCCUCUGCGGUCCUCGCAGCCCCCUCCCCUUCCUCUCUGCCUCUUAGCUGGGGGACCCCUGGCCUUUCGUGCUCCUCCCCUCCGGUGGGACUGAAGGGCCUUGGAGGGAAACAGUGACCCUCCAGAGAGAGCAUGUGUUCACCACGUUAGGAAAACACGCCGAGCUGCGGGGGCCGGCCUGCCGGAGAGGGUCUCCAGCCGGGGACAGGGAGGGUCCCCACAUCAGCCGCUCAGCUCGCAGACAGUUCCACCCUCACUCUGAGGCGGGCUGGGCGGUGGCUCUGGAGAGAAAUAGCAGGACAGUGUUUUCUCAGAUUUAAUUGGUUUAUUUAUCUUGUGCCUGAGCUCCAUCUGUCCACCUCCACAAAGAGAGGCAGCAAGGGCUCCGAGCUACUCCAGGAGCCCUGUCCGCAUCCUGCAGCUCUGCAGGAACCUGGGGCCAGCUGAGAAGUUUGGAGUUUGUCCCCUGCAGGGCGAAAGCCUGGGAGGGCCUCAGGCCCCUGGGCCCAGUGGCCCAGAGGAUAGAAAGACAGGAGAUGGAUCAAGAAGAGAGCAUGAGGGCAGGCCCGAGCCCUCGCAGCUGCAGCCCGGUGUCCUUCCCCACCGUUCCUUUGUCAGGGCCAAGGAGGUCUGGGGAGGGUGGAGAGGAGGCCCAAGGCUGCUCCAGAGAAGCCCCAAGGAGUGAGGCAGGUUUGAUGAGGAGGCAGAUGGAGAAACUGGGGGUGAGAGACCUCCCCCCCAGGGAGCCUCCCAGGUGCCAGGGUCAGGUGCAUAAGCUGGGAAGGCCAUCGAGGGCCAGCAGCUGCCCUUGAUUUUGCAGCCUCCUGGCCGCAGUCCGUUCCUUGAACUCAGGGCGCAGCUCCUCCUCUGGGUACCUAGGGAGGCUCUGAGGGCUUGUCAUCAGUGAGGAGCUGAUGGAAGAAUAAGGCGUGGGGACUCAGGAGCACCAGAGACUCUGAAAAGAUGCAGAGGUCUUACCUGUCUACCCGUAUGUACAAGAACCUCUCCAGAGAGCAAAAUCGUGCUGCCCGGGAUUUGCCCCAGAUGCAUGUUCCACCUGUCCCUGCCCCGAGGUUAGGCCGUAAGAGCUGUGCCGAGGUGUCACAUAGCUAGGCUGUGAAGGGCGCUUCUCUAGCCCUGAGCCUAUGAGUGGCUUCAGCAGCAACUCAGUGGAGAACCUCAGGGGCUUCUUAGGCCCCCCUGUGAUGCUUCCCCCGGUCAGACUGACCUUCCUGUGCAUCUCAUCCCCGAAUGGGUGCCUUCUCCUGGUGUCACAGAGCCUACUUAAGCCGUGGCUCCCAAAGCCCCGGGGACUCUGAGGCAGGCCCAGAGCCAUCCCUGCAGCUGUUCCUGGAACAGUCAUUGUCCUCCAGCGCCUGCAUCUCAGCAGAGCCGAGCCUGAAGUGGCAUCUUCCCCCCGCCCCCAGGAUAACUGGCCCCCUCCUACCCUCCAUGCUUCUGCAAGUAGCCCCAGCAUUGCCGCCACCUUCAGCCCCAUCUUCACCUCUGCCUUAUCAGACAGCAGGUUCUCUUCUUUCUUUUUCCUGUCCUUUCCCUGCCCACAGCAACCACCACUCCCCGGAGGAGGGGGAGAACGCGGAGAAGCAUAUUUCCCCCUCCCGGAGAUAACCCCUGUUAACCAUUUCAUACCGCGUUUCUUUGUUUCAAUGCAGAGUUGCCAAAGCACAGACCUUAGAAUCAGGAAUAUCUGAAUUUGAAUCCUGGCUCUACCACCUAAAAACCGUGUGGCUUUGAGCCAGUUUCCUCACCUGUAAAACAAGCCAUGAGAGCAUCUACCUCCUAAGACAGGAUUAAGGGACGUGUAAGGAAAAGGUGCUUCACACCACGCCUGCCGUGUCCUAAGACUCGAGAAACGUUAGCCGCAGAUACGCAGAAAAAUUGCAGACAGAGCGUUCCUAUGCGCCCCUCACCCAGCUUCCCCUGAUGUUCCCAGCCCCUGAUGUACGACCCCCAUGUACAUUUACCCAAACCGAGAAAGUAACACUGGUACCGGGUUAUUAUGUAACGAAGUUACUCAACUACUAGCAACUAAACUACAGACUGUAUCUGAAUGUAGUGCAUCGCCAUGAGCGGUGGUGCAGGUCGCAGACGCGGCUCGGAUCCCGCGUGGCUGUGGCUGUGGCUGUGGUGUAGGCCGGUGGCUACAGCUCCGAUUGGACCCCUGGCCUGGGAACCUCCAUAUCCUGCAGGUGUGGCCUAAGAAAUGGCAAAAAGACCAAAAAAAAAGUUCCUUUCGUGUAACUUAAUGCACUUAACCAGCCCCCUCCCGUCGAUGAAUACUUAGAUGGCGUCUUUGUUUCACCGAGGAGCAUUUAGAACAUACGUGUUUUCUGAGAAUUUCUGAUACUCUUUCAAGAACUCGUUAAUAGGCCUUGGUAGACAGCAUUCUAACAGGGGUAGACCGGUUCACAGUCCCAUCCGCAGUGGAUGAGACCCGUUUUCUUCAGCCUCAGCCACAUCAUCCGUUUGUAAAUCUUUGCCACUUCGAUUAGCAGAAGCAAAAACGAAACGAACCAACCCACAGGACAGACAAGAAGCCACUUUCUACAUGACUGUAACAACCUCCCCGUUGGUCUGUGGUUCAUCCGGCUCCCAGCUCCCCGUGCGUGUCACCAUCAGGUGGCGUGUGCUCAGCUUCCAGGGUCACCUUGUUCCUUCCCGGCUCAGAGGCCUCCGUCCCGCUCCCCGACUCGCCUGCUGCAUAAAAAUAAUAAACUACCAUCAGCUAAACUAGAGGCUCUAUUCGGACAGCCCCAGUUUGUCUACGGAUGCCCCCGUUUCUGUUCCGGGAGUCAAUCCAGGACUAGCGCUCCGCAGGCUGACGGUCCACAAGCCAGGGCCUGCCUUUGUCUCUUCUUGACAUGCAUUUCCAUCCUACCUCCUAUGCGUGACGGAUGGGGCCGCCUCCUCCCAGGGCCUGGCCCAGAGCUGGAACUGGUUUGAUGUGUGCCAGAGGGAAGAAGCCAUUGCCCCUCCAGUGCCUGGGAGGGCCAACAAAGGACAGGCCAUAGGCUUUUGAAAUAGGAGGGAUGGAGGCCGCCUGGCACCUCUGGUAGCCCUCGUCCAAGACAAUCUCGGGGUGCUCCGAGCAGGAGGCUCAGAAGCAGCCUCAGCACUUGUGGUCAUGGCAACUCCAGAUCUCUGUAACGGGCUUUCUUCAGGCUGUCCCCAGACAUGCCAACUCAACAUCUCCUCAAGAAUGGAAAUGAAGGGAGUUCCCGUCGUGGCUCAGUGGUUAACGAAUCUGACUAGGAGCCGUGAGGGUGCAGGUUUGAUCCCUGCCCUUGCUCAGUGGGUUAACGAUCCGGCGUUGCCAUGAGCUGUGGUGUAGGUCGCAGACGUGGCUCGGAUCCCGCUUUGCUGUGGCUGUGCGUAGGCUGGCAGCUAUAGCUCUGAUUAAAUCCCUAGCCUGGGAACCUCCAUAUGCUGUGGGAGCGGCCCUAGAAAAGGCAAAAAGACAAAAAAAAAAAA